AGUGCCGGGCGGGCGGGGAGGCGGCGCCGCUCCUGCCGCUGCGACCGCCCCCUGCGGCCGCUCCGCCACCGCGGCCGGGCGGCCCCGGGGCCGUGGGGGCCUCGGUGGGUGCUGAGUUGAUCAUGAGCGGGCAGAAUACACUGUGUCAUAUGGGAACAGCAUUGACUGCUUCAAUGCCACCUUCUCCAAAUUCAGCAGGACAUGGGAUGUUCCGGAGAGAUAAGAUACCUAGAAGAUGACUUCAGCACCACAGCUAAGAAGAGGUCUCAAAGGGACAACUGUUGCUGGUCACAAAGUCAGGAGGAGGAAAAAAAAAAAUGAAACAUUACCAAGUAGUUAAGAUUUCCUGUAUUUCUUCUUGGCAUGAUGUUCUGACCUGCAUUCUGAUCAAUGGCAUGAUUACCACCUUCUCUCUUCUCCAUUGUGGAAACUCCCUGCAAAACAAAUACAGGAUGUAAAACAGGUUUUGAAAUGCCAUACUGGAACUUUGAGGCCUAUUUUCCCUCAAAUUGUUUUCUUCCUUGUCCUCCACACAUUUUGCUGGAAAAGGCAGAAUCAACUAGGGAAAGGAAAGUCUGUCCUCUGAGAAUGGAAAAAACUCAGCUUAUUUUCUGGGUAAAGCAGAGAAUAAGAGAGAGCAUAAAUCAAUAGAACAAAAUUACUAAUGAAAAAUAAUAUUGAAGCCUGUCACCAGUGGAAUUAAUGCAUUAAUUAAAGUUUUAAAUGACAAUAAAUUAGUUUGAAAC